GACGAACGCUGGCGGCGUGCUUAACACAUGCAAGUCGAACGGAAAGGCCUGCUUUCCCUUGUGGAUUGCGGGUACUCGAGUGGCGAACGGGUGAGUAACACGUGAGUGAUCUGCCCCCAACUUGGGUAUAAGCCUGGGAAACUGGGUCUAAUUCCCGAUAGGACUGCAGGGUGGUGCCUGUGGUGGAAAACGAUUUUCUAGUGGUUGGGGAUGAGCUCGCGGCCUAUCAGCUUGUUGGUGGGGUAAUGGCCUACCAAGGCGGCGACGGGUAGCCGGCCUGAGAGGGUGGACGGCCACAUUGGGACUGAGAUACGGCCCAGACUCCUACGGGAGGCAGCAGUGGGGAAUAGUGCACAAUGGGCGGAAGCCUGAUGCAGCGACGCCGCGUGGGGGAUGACGGCCUUCGGGUGGUAAACUCCUUUCGACCGCGAGGAAGCCACCUGGUUGGAAGGGUGGUGACGGUAGUGGUAGAAGAAGCACCGGCUAACUACGUG
rnacentral:rRNA from 1 species